rnacentral:rRNA from 1 species
UACAGAGAGUGCGAGCGUUAAUCGGAUUUACUGGGCGUAAAGCGUGCGUAGGCGGCUGAUUAAGUCGGAUGUGAAAUCCCUGAGCUUAACUUAGGAAUUGCAUUCGAUACUGGUCAGCUAGAGUAUGGGAGAGGAUGGUAGAAUUCCAGGUGUAGCGGUGAAAUGCGUAGAGAUCUGGAGGAAUACCGAUGGCGAAGGCAGCCAUCUGGCCUAAUACUGACGCUGAGGUGCGAAAGCGUGGGGAGCAAACAGG